GUGUUGGUGGCUGAGAGGCUGAAGGCGUUAGUUUUCAAAACUAAAAGUAAUAUAAACUACUCGUAGGUUCGAAUCCUAUCCAACACG
rnacentral:tRNA from 2 species